ACGGUCGCGGCCUAUCAGCUUGUUGGUGAGGUAAUGGCUCACCAAGGCGACGACGGGUAGCCGGCCUGAGAGGGCGACCGGCCACACUGGGACUGAGACACGGCCCAGACUCCUACGGGAGGCAGCAGUGGGGAAUAUUGCACAAUGGGCGAAAGCCUGAUGCAGCGACGCCGCGUGAGGGAUGACGGCCUUCGGGUUGUAAACCUCUUUCAGCAGGGAAGAAGCGAAAGUGACGGUACCUGCAGAAGAAGCGCCGGCUAACUACGUGCCAGCAGCCGCGGUAAUACGUAGGGCGCAAGCGUUGUCCGGAAUUAUUGGGCGUAAAGAGCUCGUAGGCGGCUUGUCGCGUCGGUUGUGAAAGCCCGGGGCUUAACCCCGGGUCUGCAGUCGAUACGGGCAGGCUAGAGUUCGGUAGGGGAGAUCGGAAUUCCUGGUGUAGCGGUGAAAUGCGCAGAUAUCAGGAGGAACACCGGUGGCGAAGGCGGAUCUCUGGGCCGAUACUGACGCUGAGGAGCGAAAGCGUGGGGAGCGAACAGGAUUAGAUACCCUGGUAGUCCACGCCGUAAACGGUGGGCACUAGGUGUGGGCGACACGCCACGUCGGCCGGCCGCAGCAUGCAAGGGUUA
rnacentral:rRNA from 1 species